rnacentral:rRNA from 1 species
CCUACGGGAGGCAGCAGUGAGGAAUAUUGGUCAAUGGCCGGAAGGCUGAACCAGCCAAGCCGCGUGAAGGACGAAGGUGCCAAGCAUUGUAAACUUCUUUUGUCAAGGGACAAAAUCAGGCUCGAGAGCCUGACCGAGGGUACUUGAAGAAAAAGCAUCGGCUAACUCCGUGCCAGCAGCCGCGGUAAUAGGGAGGAUGCGAGCGUUAUCCGGAUUUAUUGGGUUUAAAGGGUGCGUAGGCGGACUGUUAAGUCAGCGGUAAAAGCCCGGGGCUCAACCCCGGCGAGCCGUUGAAACUGGCGGUCUUGAGAUGUCGAGAGGUAUGCGGAAUGCGCAGUGUAGCGGUGAAAUGCUUAGAUAUUGCGCAGAACUCCGAUUGCGAAGGCAGCAUACCGGCGGCGAUCUGACGCUGAGGCACGAAAGCGUGGGUAUCGAACAGGAUUAGAUACCCCGGUAGUC